UACGUAGGGUCCGAGCGUUGUCCGGAUUUAUUGGGCGUAAAGAGCUCGUAGGUGGUUCGCUAAGUCGGAUGUGAAAACUCGGGGCUCAACCCCGAGACGCCAUCCGAUACUGGCGUGACUUGAGUCUGGUAGGGGAGAUCGGAAUUCCUGGUGUAGCGGUGAAAUGCGCAGAUAUCAGGAGGAACACCGAUGGCGAAGGCAGGUCUCUGGGCCACUACUGACGCUGAGAAGCGAAAGCGUGGGGAGCGAACAGG
rnacentral:rRNA from 1 species